rnacentral:rRNA from 1 species
GACGAACGCUGGCGGCGUGCUGAACACAUGCAAGUCGAACGAAGUGGCGAACGGGUGAGUAAUACGUGGGUAACUGCCCUCCUUUUUGGGAUAAGACUUGGAAACGGGGUCUAAUCCCGACUAGUGGGGGAUGACCCCAGUCCUAUCAGCUUGUUGGUGGGGUAGUGGCCUACCAAGGCGACGACGGGUAGCCGGCCUGGGAGGGCGACCGGCCACGUAGGGCUGGGAUACUGCCCAAACUCCUACGGGAGGCAGCAGUCGGGGAUAUUGCACAAUGGGAGAAACCCUGAUGCAGCAACGCCGCGUGCGGGAUGACGUCCUUCGGGUUGUAAACCGCUUUCAGCCAUGACGCGGUAGUGGCAGAAGAAGCACCGGCUAACUACGUGCCAGCAGCCACGGUGAUUC